GGUUCUAUAGUGAAGUGGUUAUCACAUCUGCUUUACACACAGAAGGUCCUGGGUUCAAGUCCUGGUGGAGCCA